UUAAGCCAUGCGAGUCGAACGAGUUUAGGCUCGUGGCGUACGGCCCAGUAACACGUGGAUAACCUACCCUUAGGACCGGGAUAACCUUGGGAAACUGAGGAUAAUACUGGAUAGGCAAUUAUUUCUGCAAUGGUUUUUUGUUUAAAUGUUUUUUCGCCUAAGGAUGGGUCUGCGGCCGAUUAGGUAGUUGGUUAGGUAAAGGCUUACCAAGCCGUUGAUCGGUACGGGUUGUGAGAGCAAGAGCCCGGAGAUGGAACCUGAGACAAGGUUCCAGGCCCUACGGGGUGCAGCAGGCGCGAAACCUCCGCAAUGUGAGAAAUCGCGACGGGGGGAUCCCGAGUGCCAUUCUUAACGGGAUGGCUUUUCAUUAGUGUAAAGAGCUUUUGGAAUAAGGGCUGGGCAAGACCGGUGCCAGCCGCCGCGGUAA
rnacentral:rRNA from 1 species